UACAGAGGGUGCAAGCGUUAAUCGGAAUUACUGGGCGUAAAGGGCGCGUAGGUGGUUGCGUAAGUGAGAUGUGAAAUCCCUGGGCUUAACCCAGGAACUGCAUCUUAUACUGUGUAACUUGAGUACUGUAGAGGGUAGUGGAAUUUCCGGUGUAGCGGUGAAAUGCGUAGAGAUCGGAAGGAACACCAGUGGCGAAGGCGGCUACCUGGACAGAUACUGACACUGAGGCGCGAGAGCGUGGGGAGCAAACAGG
rnacentral:rRNA from 1 species